UACGAAGGGGGCUAGCGUUGCUCGGAAUCACUGGGCGUAAAGCGCACGUAGGCGGAUCUUUAAGUCAGGGGUGAAAUCCCAAGGCUCAACCUUGGAACUGCCUUUGAUACUGGGGAUCUCGAGUCCGGAAGAGGUUGGUGGAACUGCGAGUGUAGAGGUGAAAUUCGUAGAUAUUCGCAAGAACACCGGUGGCGAAGGCGGUUCUCUGGGCAUGAUCUGACGCUGAGGAGCGAAAGUGUGGGGAGCGAACAGG
rnacentral:rRNA from 1 species